rnacentral:rRNA from 1 species
GGUAACACUAACUGGAGGACCGAACCGACUAAUGUUGAAAAAUUAGCGGAUGACCUGUGGCUGGGGGUGAAAGGCCAAUCAAACCGGGAGAUAGCUGGUUCUCCCCGAAAGCUAUUUAGGUAGCGCCUCGUGAAUUCAUCUCCGGGGGUAGAGCACUGUUUCGGCUAGGGGGCCAUCCCGGCUUACCAACCCGAUGCAAACUGCGAAUACCGGAGAAUGUUAUCACGGGAGACACACGGCGGGUGCUAACGUCCGUCGUGAAGAGGGAAACAACCCAGACCGCCAGCUAAGGUCCCAAAGUCAUGGUUAAGUGGGAAACGAUGUGGGAAGGCCCAGACAGCCAGGAUGUUGGCUUAGAAGCAGCCAUCAUUUAAAGAAAGCGUAAUAGCUCACUGGUCGAGUCGGCCUGCGCGGAAGAUGUAACGGGGCUAAACCAUGCACCGAAGCUGCGGCAGCGACGCUUAUGCGUUGUUGGGUAGGGGAGCGUUCUGUAAGCCUGUGAAGGUGUGUCGUGAGGCAUGCUGGAGGUAUCAGAAGUGCGAAUGCUGACAUAAGUAACGAUAAAGCGGGUGAAAAGCCCGCUCGCCGGAAGACCAAGGGUUCCUGUCCAACGUUAAUCGGGGCAGGGUGAGUCGACCCCUAAGGCGAGGCCGAAAGGCGUAGUCGAUGGGAAACGGGUUAAUAUUCC